GGGGGUAUGGUUCAAUGGUAGAGCUCUUGCCUAGCACACAGGAGGUUUUGAGUUCUAUCCCCAGUAUCUCAA
rnacentral:tRNA from 1 species